rnacentral:rRNA from 1 species
AAGGAACUCGGCAAAUUGUCUUCAUAAGUUAGACGAUAUGAAGAACCAUAUAAUAUUAAGGUUUAUACUAAUUAUACCAGCUAGCCUUGUGCUUUCAGGUCUUAACAGUAUAUACUAACUAUUUUUUAUCUACAUUCAUUAAUUAACUUUAUUUUAUAUGCUUAACGGCGAUAAGGUAUUGUUUAAGAUAUGGAUUAAGGUAUGAUUUGGAAAUUAAUAUUAUGUGGUGUCACAAAAUCGGAGGCCCCGACUGUUUACUUAAAACACAGCUUUCUGCUACGAAUAAUAUCUGUGUAUAGAAAGCGAAUUUUGCCCAAUGCCAUUAAUAUAAAGUUGAUAAGCGCAUAGCGUAUUUAUUAGCUGAAGUUCUGGUCAAUGGCGGUCUUAUCUAUGAGGAUCCUAAGGUAGCAAAAUUAAUUGUCCAUUAAAUGUGGUCCUGACUGAAUAAAGUAACGAUGGUCUCACUGUCUCUACAAGUAUCUCAGUGAAAUUGAAUUAGCCGUGCAGAUGCGGUUUAACUUCGGGUAGACGGGAAGACCC